ACAUGCCAAACAGCAUUCCACAGAACUCAUCCCAACUCAGCUGCGCCGCCACCAGCCCCUAGUCUCGCCUCGCUCUCCGCCACCAGUCAUGAGCAUCACCUGCUAAAUAGUGUACUCCCAGAGGUACCUGCUCCCCCUCCGGAAUGAACAGAUCCUCAAAUAGCUUCUCCAUCGCACUGACCCAUCCCUCAACAACCCAGGCCUCAGUGCAUCUGCCAUCGUAAAUCGGUGGAUCAAAACGACGAAAACGAGCCAACCUCUCCGUCCACCGCUCCUGCUCGGCCUCUGUCAACUGUAUGGGCCCCCUAG
rnacentral:lncRNA from 1 species